rnacentral:lncRNA from 1 species
CUCUUUUGUCCUCCAUUGGAGAGCAUGGUUGUGCCAAGGCUCUCUAGCCAGGACAGCCCAUCCUCAGGCCACCCAGCUCCGUGAGUGAGUUCCCUGCACAGCCUGUGACUGACUCACCGAUGCAGUGGGGCUGAUCUUCACAUGGCACCCCAAGCAGGCUUUUCCAGUUCACAUCUGCCAACAAGGCAGCCAAGGGGGUGGUUUAGGAAGUAGAGAAAAGGUGAAAAGGCAGCGGAGGGAGCCGGCUGUCCUGUGUCUCCUCUUUUUCCUGCCCCCAGUGACUUGCAUUUUCUCUGAGACAGCUGCCAUUCUAGUCUCCCAGCCAUUCUUAGGAAGAGACGUGCCUGUCUCUGGGAAGAGGCAACUUCUCUGCAUGUCAGAGGUCUGUUACAUUUCCCAGAAUGGUUCCCAGUGCUGGAGAUAAUUCCUUUUCGGAGAACCUACAUUUCUCACCUGCUGAUUGCAAUUAGCCACUACCAGCUGGGGCCUGGUGUGCAGCUGAAAAGCUAACAAGAAGUGGAGACCACGCGGAACUCAGACAGGGCAUAGGAUGUGCAUAAAUAAGCAACGGUGCCUGUGUUUAUGAGAUGCUCCUGUGAAUUCGAGGCUUCCCCACCCUCUGCAUAACUCUCCCUCUUCUGGCUUUGUGCUGCACACCCCUCCCCUAACUAUAUUUUUUGUCUCUGGUUUUGUAGCCUACGUUUAACAUCACAGUCACGAAUUUACCACUAAGUACAUUUUGUUAGGCAAUAAACAGCCUUGGAAGAAAAAUGAAAUCCGACUAGGACUUCUGUUCUAAUAAUGUCUGUGAGCUGUGGUGGAUUCAGGCAGGCCCCACAUGCAGGUCUUAGAGCUAACCUUGACCAUGAGGGCUAGUGGGGCUGGGAGAGGGCUCAGGGACCCCAAUUCAACUCCCUUAUUUUAUGGGGGAGGAUACUGAAUCCCAGAACGGGAGCAUGGCCUGUCCAAAGUCUUAAAGGAAGUCACAGGACUGGAU